AUGAACGCUGGCGGCGUGCCUAAUACCUUCCAGUCGCGCGAACAGACGAGGAGCUUGCUCCUCUGACGUUAGCGGCGGACGGGUGAGUAACACGUGGAUAACCUACCUAUAAGACUGGGAUAACUUCGGGAAACCGGAGCUAAUACCGGAUAAUAUAUUGAACCGCAUGGUUCAAUAGUGAAAGACGGUUUUGCUGUCACUUAUAGAUGGAUCCGCGCCGCAUUAGCUAGUUGGUAAGGUAACGGCUUACCAAGGCGACGAUGCGUAGCCGACCUGAGAGGGUGAUCGGCCACACUGGAACUGAGACACGGUCCAGACUCCUACGGGAGGCAGCAGUAGGGAAUCUUCCGCAAUGGGCGAAAGCCUGACGGAGCAACGCCGCGUGAGUGAUGAAGGUCUUCGGAUCGUAAAACUCUGUUAUUAGGGAAGAACAAAUGUGUAAGUAACUAUGCACGUCUUGACGGUACCUAAUCAGAAAGCCACGGCUAACUACGUG
rnacentral:rRNA from 1 species